CGCACAUUGCGCCCCUUGGUAUUCCGGGGGGCAUGCCCGUUCGAGCGUCAUUUCACCACACAAGCCCAGCUUGGUAUUGGACCCGGUCGAGCGACCCGUCCUUAACCCGUUGGCGGUGCAGUCCGGCUUCAAGCGUAGCAAUAUUUUCGCUUCAGGAGUCCGCGGCGGUACCCGCCAGGAAAUGGCCACCUAAAGUUUGACCUCGGAUCAGGUGGGGAUACCCGCUGAACUUAA
rnacentral:misc_RNA from 1 species